rnacentral:rRNA from 1 species
UACGGGGGGGGGGCAAGCGUUGUUCGGAAUUACUGGGCGUAAAGGGCGCGUAGGCGGCCUGCUAAGUCGGAUGUGAAAUCCCUCGGCUCAACCGAGGAACUGCAUCCGAUACUGGCGGGCUUGAAUCCGGGAGAGGGAUGUGGAAUUCCAGGUGUAGCGGUGAAAUGCGUAGAGAUCAUGAGGAAGACCAGUGGCGAAGGCGGGUCUCUGGACAGUUCCUGACACUGAGACACGAAGGCCAGGGAGCAAACGGG